rnacentral:rRNA from 1 species
GACGAACGCUGGAGGCGUGCCUAAUACAUGCAAGUUGAGCGAUGAAGAUUGGUGCUUGCACCAAUUUGAAGAGCAGCGAACGGGUGAGUAACGCGUGGGGAAUCUGCCUUUGAGCGGGGGACAACAUUUGGAAACGAAUGCUAAUACCGCAUAACAACUUUAAACAUAAGUUUUAAGUUUGAAAGAUGCAAUUGCAUCACUCAAAGAUGAUCCCGCGUUGUAUUAGCUAGUUGGUGAGGUAAAGGCUCACCAAGGCGAUGAUACAUAGCCGACCUGAGAGGGUGAUCGGCCACAUUGGGACUGAGACACGGCCCAAACUCCUACGGGAGGCAGCAGUAGGGAAUCUUCGGCAAUGGACGAAAGUCUGACCGAGCAACGCCGCGUGAGUGAAGAAGGUUUUCGGAUCGUAAAACUCUGUUGGUAGAGAAGAACGUUGGUGAGAGUGGAAAGCUCAUCAAGUGACGGUAACUACCCAGAAAGGGACGGCUAACUACGUG